GAAGAAGAAGAAGCGCGAGUAGCACCGGAUGUGUUGCAUUGAGCCGAGAGAGACAAACAAAGUCAAGGUGAGUUUACGGUUUUAUUUAUUUAAUGUGUACAGUAUAUUUAUUGUUAAAAAACAUACUUCGUAUUUUAAAGUGCAUUCCAUUUGAACGGGGAGGCGGGAAUUUCCCACUUUGCUAGGGACGUCACCCACUCAGGGUAACGUAUUUGGUGGAAGCUUAAGUGAGUGAGCGUGCUAUUGCUCUUUCGUAUUUUGGGUUGUCCAUGGGUUAUAGUUAGUGUCUAUACUGGAGGCUACGUAGCUAUUGUAAGUUUGUUUGUGUUUUCCCCCCCGCAUCGUCAUAAAUAUAUACAUGUGGAUGUCCGCUCUGACGCUGUUGUCCGGAACAAUGCGUUGAAGCGGCCGCCAUCUUGGGCCGGGGUAAGCCGCGUCUAUUACUGCAUUAGUCAACAGAGGCAGUCUAUCAACGAUUAAAAUCACAAUAACUUGCUGAACUUUCAACCGAUUUUCAGUCGGUUUGGUUUAUUGGAAAUGUCACACGCAUUUAUAUAAUAUAACAGAUUAUUUUUCAUUAUUUUUUUUAUUUUGAGGUUGCCUCAUUUUUUCCCCUUUACUCAUUUUGUAGUAUGGACUUGAGUCUGCUAAUAAACUUUACUUACUUUGUAGGGCUGUGCAGGCCAGUGUAAAGACAAAGAACGUGUAAGCUCAGUGCCUAGUGCACCAAAGAUCCUUCAUGUGUUUGGCCCAGAUCCCAGAGGGAAUGAUUCUGAGGAUGAAGCUGUCUUACCAACAAGAAAACAAGUGCACCAUACUGGAGCUGGGCCAGAGAGGCCAUGCGUCCCGUAGCCUGCACCAGGGAAGGAUUUCAUCGACUGACCUGCACCAGAGAAAGACUGUUUCCUCUGAGCCACAUCAGUUGAUAAGAAGACCACAAACCAGUCUUCAUAUAUCACACCUAGGCCUACCACAUCCAAGGCUGAACCAAAUCUGCUACCAUUAGCUGAUCGCCAGUCUGUCCAAAACAUGGAGGAGCGGCUCAGAAAUAGUGCUGACCUCAAAAACCAUCUGAGAACUGCACUGGCUCUUAAAGGAGGGGGAGACGUUAAAGAGUGUAAAGAGUGUCAUGGGUGCAACCUUAACACUCUCUCGCCAAGAAUGUCAACAUGCGCGGUAUAAAUGGCAAGAUUGGCUUCCAGCACCUGCAAAUAAAGGAUGUUGUAAUUGAAGUCCACGGUGGGAAUGAUGGACUCACGGACAGCGCUGCUUCAUUUGGACUUCUGUGCCCUUUGUUAAUUUUUUACUAAGACUUUAACCUCCCUGAUUUUAUUUGUUUUCCUUUUGUUAUCCUUAAGCUCACAUUCUUUUAAUGUAUUUCAAUUAUUGAUCUUAUAAUUUUAUUGGAUUGAAAGCAUAAAAUUUUUUUCCAUCCCCACUUAAUGUUGUUUCCCUCUGUUGUUCGCUCUCCAACAGUGUCACAUAUUAUUUGAUUUUUAUAUUGUUAUUUAUUAUAUAUUUUAAACAAGUUAUUCAAAUCAAAAUAAAUGUUAUUUGUAUAAUUGUAUCACCGUUGUUGUAGUAUUUUUAAUCUAGGCUGAAUAUUGCAUUUUGAUUAAGGUAUUCAUUAGGCUGACACCUGGUGCCAGUGUGGAAACUGUUCUGGGCCAGUACAGGGCCACCAUUAGGCUGACAUCCGGUGCCAGUGUGGAAACUGUUCUGGGCCAGUACAGGGCCACCAUUAGGCUGAC